rnacentral:lncRNA from 1 species
UUAUGAUAAUUCACCAUUUAAUUCAACCAUCUUACAAUUAGUUUUUAUGAAUUGCAUGGAUAAAAAAAAAAAAGCAAAAGGAAAAAUAUCAGUUAAGGGAAGGGAGAGAACAAAAGGAAAGAGAGAGAGAAUUGAGAGUUGGGCUCCUUUGCUCUUGAUGUAGAGGGAGUUUGACAUCACUCACAGAAGGGCAAGUUACAACCUUAUCAGACCAUAUCUUUUUGACAAAUCCAGUGCAAAUUAAUGAGAGAUUCUUGGUUUAAAAUUUGCUCUCUAUGGUAACCAUGGUGCUAGGAUUUUGGAGAUGGCGAGGUUGGUGAGUUGGCGCUGGAGCUUUGACAGGCUUUUAAUUGCUACUCCGUGACUGUUAAAAACUGAAAAUACCAUAAGCUACCCUUUCUCUUCGGCAGUGGCGGUGUGAUUAAGCUUGGCAGUGCUCGGUGGGAUGCGCAGUGCUUUUAAGUUUAAACUAUUUGUUUCGGUUAUGUUUAUCUUAGCUUUUUUUUUUUGGGCAUGCUAGCCUCUCGAGGCUUUAUUCUCUCUCUCUCUCUUCAGCUGUUGUAGCGACAACAGACAGUGACUACAGGGUUCUAGAAUGCUCUUCGAGUUAAGACUUGGUAAACUGUUAGGCUCGCUGAUUAGUGGGUUUGAAUUUUGAGCUCGUUUGUACACUUUGUUUUUGA